rnacentral:rRNA from 1 species
UACAGAGGUCCCAAGCGUUGUUCGGAUUCACUGGGCGUAAAGGGUGCGUAGGUGGCAUGUUAAGUUUGAUGUGAAAGCUCAGGGCUCAACCCUGAAAUGGCAUUGAAUACUAGCGUGCUGGAGGUUUGGAGGGGGGACUGGAAUUCUUGGUGUAGCAGUGAAAUGCGUAGAUAUCUGGAGGAACACCGGUGGCGAAGGCGGCAUCCUGGACCAAUAUUGACGCUGAGGAGCGAAAGCCAGGGGAGCAAACGGG